ACUAGCAAGAGUUUAUUGAAAGGACCCAGAUGUAGCUGUCUCUUGUGAGACUAUGCCGGGGCCUAGCAAACACAGAAGUGGAUGCUCAUAGUCAGCUAAUGGAUGGAUCACAGGGCUCCCAAUGGAGGAGCUAGAGAAAGUACCCAAGGAGCUAAAGGGAUCUGCAACCGUAUAGGUGGAACAACAUUAUGAACUAACCAGUACCCCGGAGCUCUUGACUCUAGCUGCAUAUGUAUCAAAAGACGGCCUAGUCAGCCAUCACUGGAAAGAGAGGCCCAUUGGACUUACAAACUUUAUAUGCCCCAGUACAGGGGAACGCCAGGGCCAAAAAGGGGGAGUGGGUGGGUAGGGGAGUCGGGGUGGGUGGGUAUGGGGGACUUUUGGUAUAGCAUUGGAAAUGUAAAUGAGCUAAAUAUCUAAUAAAAAAUGGAAAAAAAAAAGAUUUAGUUCAUAUAGUAUGCCUCACACUUUCCCCUAACAGCUAAUAAAGAUGUUCUUUCCUUCCUUCCUUCCUUCCUUCCUUCCUUCCUUCCUUCCUUCCUUCCUUUCUCUCUCUCUCUCCCUUCCUUCCUUCCUUCCUUCCUUCCUUCCUUCCUUCCUUCCUUCCUUUCUUUCUUUCUUUCUUUCUUUCUUUCUUUCUUUCUUUCUUUCUUUCUUUCUUUCUUUUUUCUUUUUCUUUCUUUCUUUUCUUUCUUUCUUUCUUUCUUUUUCUUUUCUUUUCUUUUUUUUUUUUUGUUUUUGCAUUCUUUGCAUUUUUUGAGACAAGGUUUCUCUCUAUAGCCCUGGCUGUCCUGGAACUCACUCUGUAGACCAGACUGGCCUCAAACUCAGAAAUCUGCCUGCCUCUGCCUCCCAAGUGUGUGCUACCACUGCCCAGCGAUGUACCUUAUUUCUAAUGUAUAUAAAUGGUUUUCUAGCUGCAAGGGAGGAUUUAAAAUUACUUAGAUGUGUGAACUGUAGAAGUAUGAAGUCAAUAAUAAGUCUCCUUUUAUAGUAUUUAUUAAAGUUUGCAUUUUUAGAAAACUGGGCAAUGAACUACUACAUUUGAAAUUCUGUCUAUCUUCUAUAUGAUAAAACUUUCACUUAUGUAAAUUAUUCAUGAGUAAACUAUGCAUUAAAUUUACAAUGAUAUGUACAGGGAAAAUUCAUUUAAAAUAUAUCAAUAAGUAUUCUCAUUUUUAUUGUUAAUGUAAUCUAAUGUUUUUAGUUUUAAUAUUACCUUUAUUUUUCUGUUUUAUAAUCUAAUUUCUGUAUGUUUGUAUAGUUAUACUUUAUGGUGUUCCCAUUACAUCCAUAAAAACAGUACACCAAAUAUUAGUUCCAAUUGUUCUACAAAUUAUUCUAUUUGGUUUAAUGAAUAGGAAUUUCUUAUUUUGUUUAUUGUUUACUAACCUAUUUCAGCACUAGAUUCACAUCCAGUUUUUAAAAUUUCAUUGAAGAAAAUGUUGAAAUCAUGUUGAUUAAUUCCAAGCCCUGAGAUUCUCAACAGCAUCCCUUCCAAACUCCAUGGUAGCUUUGAGGAGGAAAAACAUUAUGUGAAUAAUUUAGGGUGAGAACAUGGAACAUUCACAAUGAUGAAAAUACUUAAAUAUAAUAGCAAGCCUCUUCUGGAGGAAGAGGAAGCAAUUAGAUAUGAUGAUAGUUCCCAGUUGAAGGUGUUCUUAAGUGUUUUGAACCAGGGAAGAAAAUAUCUUUUUCUUCCCAACUUUCCUUUAUUGGGCUUCUCAUUGUUUUCGUAUCCAAGGUGAUAUGAAGAGCAACAUUAAAAUAUCUUGUGAGUUUAUCAUACAUUAUUAGAGAGGUACUCUUUUUAAAUUUGAUCACAACUUGUCAUUUAUUAUAAGUAAACACCCAUGCAUUAACAUGCAAGAAACUAAGUAUCAUAAAUGAUGCAUUCAACAGUAAUUGCCAAUAAAUUAGAAUUGUUAUAUUAUCUCUGGAAUCCUGGAAUUUGAAGAGUGUUUAGAAAACAUUAUUUUUCUUUCCAUAGUACUGGAAAAGGAUUGUAGCUUUUACCAGAGAGCUUCAGUUGUCAUUUGGUAGUAUUAACUGACUUAGGAUUAAAGUGGAGAAUGCAGCUUUAGUUGCUCACAUGAUGCCCACUCUAGUUUACCAACACAGUGCUAUGAUAAAAAAUAGUGACAGAACUAGGCAGUUGCUGAAGGUUCUUUUAAAUUCUUUGUUCUUAUGUCACUUUUAACUGUGCAUUCUAGAGAUAAAAGUAGCACCUGGCAUAGCUGGGCAGACUCAGGUAAGUGUAUAGAAAACCAGGACAACAAACAUGUUCUUUCAGGAAUGCAGGGAGGCUGUCAGCCUUCCUUCCACACACUCUAAAAUGAUACAUCUAGGAAAGGGCUUCCUAGCCUCAACAUUUCUGACAGCUCAGUCUAGAUAACUGAUGAUAGUGGUUGUAUUUUAUAAGAUACCUCCCCAGCCUCUCUCCACAGUGCAUACAACAAUCCCUACACUUCGAUAGCGGUAAUUAUCAGUGCUUUCACCUCUUGCAGGAUGUCUCCAAUGGACACUCUCAAAUGAGGAAUUUUGUAAUGCCUAGACUUCAUUUUGGCAGACCCGAGAAGAGUGAGUGCAGUUAAAGAGGGAUCACUACCCAGCCAAGACCCCUGUGUUAGAAGAUAAAUCUAAGGAUAGAGUUUCACCUCCACAACCCCCUUCUCCGUCCCCACGCCUCUAUGGGGGAACUCCCCUACCUGCCCACCCACUCCUGUCUCAGCGCCCUAGUGUGCACCUACCCUGCCUGAGUCAUCAAGCCUCCACAAGUAGACUCAGAUUCACUUCAAAAAUGGAGAUUUGCAUGAGCAGGUAUUUUUGCUUGUUUGUUUAUUCAUUUACUCUUUUUUUUUUUUAGCUUUUUAUUGAUUCUUUGUGAGCUUCACAUCAUACACCUCAGCCUGACUCAUCCCCCUGUCCUCUCACAUCCAUAUCAUAUAGACGGACUCACAACCUCUUUUUCCAUCAGCCUUAAGGGAUCUAUUGCCCUUCUGGCCUUCAUGAGCACUGCACUCAUGAAAAAAACAAACAAACAAACAAACAAACAAAACCACACAUAUAUGUAUAACUAAAAGUUGAAAAAUAUUUCAAGAGAGAAUUUGUGUGAAUAAUUAAUAUGCCUCAGUAAUGAGACCAUCGUAUUUUUUAGAUAUAAAACAGUGCUAUUUAUAUUGUAGAGAGAAAUUAAAAUAAAAUGGUUUCUUGAUGCAAGACUGGUAUUGUGGGCUUAUAGAACACUGUAUGAGGUAUGAUGUUAGAUAACUACUUAGUAAAGAUAGUGCAGGUGCCUGUGGGAUUUGUAAUAAUUGAGUUUGUGAAACAUAAGAGAUCCUAACUACCCUGUAGCAUUUUAAUGAUCAGGUCUCCGCUUUUGCUCAGUUCCUAAUAUAGCAUAGAAAGGUGCAGAAACCUACAAACACUCUUGCCUUCCGUUCUCUUAGAUGUUUUGCAAUGGAAAGCAAGUACUGAGCCAUAAAGCAGUAAAUAGUUUCAAACCCACUGGAAGAAGCUUGCAGAGGGAAACUAGACUCCAGAAAAAAAAAAUGUGUGGUAUCUAGCACAGACACUUCCAUAAUUUCCCUCACUCUCUAAGAAGACAGUUUUUCAGAGGACAUGCUCUAUUGGAGGAAGCAAUUUUCACGGAUGGUAGAAUUUUCUCCUAUUAUAUGGGGAAGAUACGGUUAAAGUCGUGAUGAAAGAUUUCUUCCAAUUGAAUUUGAGGCUUACAGGUAAUGAAAACUGAACAAAUUUGAACAAAUGCCAUAGAGUGACAAGGAGAGGAUGAAAUUAAAAAGAAAAAUCAUAUUUUUCUUCUUUCUGUAGAAAGUCUUUGAAAUCUAAAGGACCAGAGAUGAAGCAAUUGACUUCCCACAUUUAGCUGUAGAAUUAUGGGCAGACUGUGUAGCCUAUGCCAACUUUAUCUAUUAAAAAUAGUCUCCUAUUUCCAAAAUAAUGAUUUUCUUUGUGCUCCACAGGGUGGUACCAAGAUGCCAGGUGAUACAAAACAUCAUGCAAGCUCUGUGUGUAGUGAGUGCCCUUAGCAGAUAGUAGCUAUUUCUGUCACAUUAUUCUGCUUGUAAAGUCUCCUCCUAUAGACAUCAUCUCUUUUUGGUGAUGCUUGUUACUAUUACUCAGCAAUUUAAGCCUACAUUAGGAUAUGUUCUAUGAUUAUUGAAUAUGUAACUAAGAUCAUAUAUGCAAAACAUUGCAUAUAUAUACGUAACCACAUGUCAAAUAUUCAUGUAUAUAUGUAUACAUGCCUAUAUGUGCUAUAUAUUCAUAUGCACAUACAUGUGUAUGUGGUAUAUCAUACAUAAUGUUAUUUAUUAUAAAUGAUAAGGCAUAUAUGCAUGUAUAGGAUACUAAUUUUUAUAUAUGUUAUGUAAAAAUAAUAUGUAUGCAGAUACAUAUAUGUAUACAAACACAUAUUGGGACAAAAUAUGUGGCUGUAUAUGUAGAUUAUCCCUUAAGAUGGUUGUCCUGUUCAAGGAAGUGAAAAGCAUGCUAAAGAAAAUUGUGGAAUAAGAACUCAACUGGAGACUCCAGAAUGAUGAAAGCCCAUCUGGAAAGGAAACAGUAAAGAGGAUGCAUCUAUUAUAAAAAGACUCAAGUCAGUAGCUUACCUUUGACAUUAAGAAGCUGGGAAAGAACUUCAAAUUAAGCAAAAACUGUACUGAACAACAAAGCUGGAAUGGAUCUUAAAAAGCAGAAACAUAAACAGAAUUGAGAAAUCAGAAGUUGGCUCUGAGAAAUCAACACAGUUGAAAAAUGUCCCUCAGAUCUAUCUUUGACAAAAUAAUACCCGUAGAUUACACCUGCCUUGAGAGCUGUGAAACUGCAGAUAUGAAGCAUAUUCACCACCCAAGAAUAUCAUGAACUUAUUUUCCAGUGAAUUUACUAAUUUAGAUGUAAUGUAUAAUUUACUUAAAAGAAUGAACUAACAAAAUGUCCUGGAGAAUUCCUUAUAUCCUGAUUGUACCUCUAUCUGUCACAGAAAUGAUAUAUUUAUAAUUCUUUCCACAUUGAAAAACAUAAGAACAGGUAGAAUUACUGGUUUAAGUUCUACCAAAUAGGAAGAAAUGAUAUGCAUUCUAAACAAAGUAAAGAUUGGAGAGGACAAAUUCAAGAGGAAAAUGGAGGCAAAUAUACACUAUGAAUAUUAAUGUAAAAUUUCAGUAUAUAUUUUUACAAACUGUACUCUAAAAUAUGUAAUCACGAUAAAGAGAGGGUUAUCUGUGCAAUAGGUGGUUGGGAUAGCAUCAUCAACUCAACGCAUAGAACUCAUCAUAUAGUUGGCAUCUAAUCACUUCAGCACAUGCAGAUUAAGCAGUUGACAAACUCCAACAUAUAUUUCCUAUUUAAUAGAUACUGUCAUAGAACUAGGAUAGAAGAGAACUUUUUUAGCCUGUCAGAAAAUUAUGUAAUAAAAAUAACUGUUGAGGAUUCAUGAGGGGAUAAAUGAUUGCGUUCUAUGUAAGAUCAGGAGCAGAAGUAGAUGCGCAUCCUUAGGACUCUAUUCACUUUAAAGAGAUAGUCUAGCUAUUUGAACAAGAUAAGAAAGGGGGAUAAAAUGAAUCUGGAAUGAAUAGAUGAGAAAUGUCAAAUUACUUUUAUGUUCUGAUUGCAAUGUGAGAAAUUUAGAGAGUGUAAGAAAAUAUAUUAAAGUACCCUCUAAAAUGAGCUUAACAAAAUUACAGGAUACUAAUUUUAUAUAAUAAAACAAUUAUGUUUUUGUAUUAAGACCAACUAAAACAAAUUUAAAACUCUCAUUUAUGAUAUCACUGAAACCAGGAUAAAAUCAAGAGUAAAUCUAAUGAAAAUAUCUAAGGCUUAAGAUCAAAGCUGUAAAAUACAGCCAAGAUUAAUGCAUAGAGUAGAGGUUGGACUAGAAGAUUUCAAGAUGUCAGCUCUCCCAGCCUGAUCUGUACAGUAAGAAAGAUCAAAAGUGAAAUACUAUCACACUGAUUUUUUAGGAAUAGAAAUAUAUUAAAAUUCUGAAAUGCAUAUCAAACUACAAAAGACCAAGAAUAAUCAAAGGACAAUCCAAAAGUCAGAAGAUAUUUGAAUGGGUCAACAUUACCUUCAUUCAUGUAUAGCAAAAUCCUACUGCCCAAUAUGCUAUGAACAUAUGAACAUGUGAAUGUUUUAUAAACAAGUAAAUCAAUUAAUUCAGUCUCAACAUAAAUCCACACAGAAGACCAACUGAAAGAGAAGUUAAAAGAGGAAAGAAAAGUAUUUUUAUCAAAGGAUAAUUAUUAUCUAUACAAAUAAACACAAAUAAGAAGUGACUGCACACACUGAUACUAUGUUCAGCCUAUGGUCCCUAAGCUUGAAUAGUAAGUACUGUACAAACCACAUACUACAGUAUGAGUUCAUCUCAAAGUACUUAUGCUGAAUUAGAAAGGAAACUCAGAAAGGUAACACCCAGAGUGACUAAUCAUCUUAAAAUAAAUCUGAAAUAAAUCCAUACUGACUCGCAACAGUUUAGUGUUGGUCGGACUAAAAGGUGACAGAAACAUUCAAAGGUUGUAGAGGACAUUCAAUCUUGUUCACAAGUCUGGUUUUUGCUUUUUGUUUUGUUUUGUUUUUAACAACACACAUAAUUUCUGAAAUAUAUCAAAUUCAUGCUUCAUAUAGUGCAGUUUAUCUACCUAUUAUGGUUUCCAAAGUCUGCUAAAAAUGCAGAUAGAGUUUUAAAGAGGCCCUGUGGCUGAGCAAGACAGAAUGAAAAGGAAACUAAAAGAGUAAUGUAGAGAUCUUUGUAGGUUGACCAGUAUGGAGAGUGGAAUUUUAUAAGAAUGAGAAAGAUCAAGGUUGAAUUUACAGAUAGAAAUUAGGCAGUAGGUUGCCAAGGGAGUUUAAGAUAGAGACACAAACCAAGAGUGGUUUUCAACUUAUGUCCAUUCCUUACAUUUUUAAAAAUUGUGUUAAAUUUUUUUCUCUUCGAGCUUUGCAUCUCCUUGAGCAGAAGUGCGGAAGUUCUCCAUGGGCCUUUUUAUAUACAGCAAUAGCCACUGACUUUAGCUUAAAGGCGUUUGUGGGUUCGUUUGUUUGUUUGUUUGUUUGUUUCUGUUUUAUGAUAUUGAGAAAAUGAGUUCCCUUAUUUCAUGAGGAUUAUGUAAGACACAAAUAAUAAAGGUUUGCACAGCUUUGUCUUAUCUGUUAGAGGUGGUUUUAACAAAUGCAUUAACAAAGCAGAUUCAUCAAGUUUCUUAACUUUCAACAUUAAUUUACUAUUAAAUCUUUUACAGGAUACAUAAAUCAUGUGUCUAUUUCAAAGUAUAUCAUGAUAAGUGGCUGAAGUGAAUUGAUACAGCGGUGCUUUUAUUAAUAUCUGCAAUUAAAUAUGGUUAGCAUUGUCUUGUUUACUUCCCCUAUUAACACAGUUAAUUAUAAAAUGACUAAUUGAAAAAUUUUACAUUAUUUCUGUUUAGUUAUAUGUAAAAACUGAUAUUGAUAUAACCUCUACUACCCUUUCUAUCCUAUAGUUUUUGAGAUAGGAUGGUUUCUGAAUUGAAAAAUUUUAAAGUACAAUAAACAUGACAUUUUUUUUCUUUUCGCCGUUCUAUAAAUCAUUUUUGUAAAUGUAGCUUUUAUUCAAUAGAUGUAAUUGUCAUCUCAGCAGCUUAGUGAUGAAUAAACUCACCCUUUAUAACUCUUUCUAAACUCUGGCUAGCUGGUUCAACUCAGCUAUUUCGGUCUAAAUUCUUCUCCUGGAUGAUUGAUUCAAGCUGCCUUCUCUCAACUUAUGACUGACUGGUUCUUCUUGGACUCAAACUAAAUCAUGCAAUCUGUUCUAAUGUUCUUGCCCCUUUUCAUUUUUUGGCUUAUUCUGUCCUCACCUCCUGCUACCUGUUUUCGCAAACCUGUCCUCGUAAAACUUUCUCCUCUAGCUCUCUCUCUCUCCCUUUCUCUCCUUCUCUCUGCACUGCUCUCUUAAAUCACUGCUCACCUUUCCUGUCCUAGUGAGAGAUGGGCAUAUACCAUCUCUUACUCAUUCUGUCAAAUCUUUCUCUAAUUCAUCACUUUGUCUGCCUCUAAAUUAGAUGUCACUUCAAACAUGGCUGCAUCCUUUUGCAAACUAACUUUACCUAUACUGUUUGUACUAAAAGUGUGUACUAAGACCAUGUCUGUGUUCCAGCCAGAGGGACUAAAGGUGUAUCACUCCAGCUGUAUCACAAAGACCUAAAAGGAUUUUGGUUAUGAUCCCAUGCCAGAGUAGCCAUGUACAAUUUGAAAAAUUUCCUCUUUUAUUGUAUAAUAAAAGCAUAUAAGACACUAACAUUGUUUCUCUUGUGGUUUGGUUUUAUCUUCAACCAAUAAGUUCUGGUGUGUAUCUGUCGUAUCAGUAACAGUUUUCAAAUAAAUAUCGUUUGCUGUUUGGUUUUAUGUUUGGCAUUAUAUUUACAAAGAGAACUAUCACUUGGUUUAUUGCAGCUGAUAUAUAGGUCUUUCAUAAUAGUUUCAGUUAAUUUAUAGCAUUACUGCAUAAUUGACUUUAAGAACAAGAAAUGAAAUCUGUCUUUGUUUAAUAAAGCUAAACAAAUUAUUGUAUCCUUGAAUUUUAGCAUAGAACGAAUUAUUUCAGAGUCACAAUUUCUAAUAAAUUACCCUUCUACCUCCUAAAACUGCAUAAUUUCUGAUUGCACAUUGUUUAUUGAUCUAUCAUAACUGAGGAUUGUAUUUGUUCUUUCUUUGCUUUUCUAUGUUUGUGCAUUGUUACCUUAUGAUCCCUAAAUUAUAACAUUGCAAAUAUUCGCAUGAGGAUUUGAGAGAUAGGUCAGUUAUUAUUAGAGCUUCAUGAUCUUUUAAGGAUUGGAGCAUGGUUCCCACCACUACAUCACUACUGCCUCACACUUUCCUAUAAUUCCAGCACUACAGUCUCUAAUGUACCCUUAUGGGGAUCUGUGGAGAUCUGUACACAAACUCAUCAACAUCCUUCCAGCAUCAAUAAACAUAACAAAGAAAUCCUCAUAAGAAUAUAAAUGUACCCCUUCUAAGCACUACAAAAUAGAAAUAAAUACAUCUUAUACUGAAAAAAUAUUGUUACCAAAGUUCUACAUAAUUUUAUAUUAAUUUUGUUAUUUUCCUUUCAAAAGUUCUAAACAUAUUUUAAUAUGUAGUAUAUGAUUAAUAUAUGUAUAUAUGUACAUAUGCACAUAAGAGGAGCUGAGUAUUCUAGAUCUUUGUCCAGAGAAAGCCAGGAGCAAACUUGGCAGGCAAGAAGGAGGAGCAUCUCAAAGCCAACCCCCAUAGUGACACACUUCCUACAACAAGACCACACCUACACCAACAAGGCCAUACUUCCUAAAAAUGACACUCCCUGGGCCAAGCAUAUUCCAACCACCACAGGAAGAUGAACCUCUAUUAAAUACUAAAAGUCUUGGAUUAAUAAGAUCAUAAACAAGGCACAAGUUCAUAUUUUAUAACUAAGUAUCUACAAUUUUUUUACAAAGUUACAUUUAUAUAAACUAUAGAUCUUUUUAACAUUAGAAAGAUAAACAGAAAUUGUUGUGUACUGGCAAAGAAGGUAGACGUAUUAAUUGGGGUUAUUUCUGUAAUCCCAACACUGGAAAAAACAAAACAGAUAAAUAAUAAACUAACUCAAAUAUCUAGUAUUAGCAGAACUCUCUUCUCUUUUAAUCUAUAAAAUCUUAAUGGGGUUUUGUCCUACCCAACUUGAGUGAAUAUCCCUUUAAAGUAAAUAGAGUUGUUAUGAUGAACUUGUAUUUUGUCGUAAUCAUUUGAACUUAAUCUUUUAUAUUUGAAAUUUUCUUUUGUUUUAUAAUAAAAGCACAUGCUUUUUGGCUUAAUUGGUCUCUUUUUCUUUCCUUUGCUGUGCAAUUUUGCAUAGUACCUGAGAAAUUUUUCUCAAACUCAUUUUAAAAAGCAUACAUCUUAUUUUUCUUAAAAACAUUGCUAUUUUGUCAUAAAAGAAACUUUUUAAAGAACUUACUUAAAUGAGGGAAAUGGAAAAUAAAAUUUUAUCCUUAGUACAUAAACAGAGAAUUUGAUAUUGUUUUCACGUCUAUCAUGAUUAAGGUAUUAAAAUGAGAUAUGAUUUUAUUUCCUCAUCAUGACUACUUUACUGUUUCCUGGUUUUAUUUUCCCUUAGGAAUUUUUAGAAUAUUUUUUAUGAACAAAUAAUAUAUGAAGUUACAUGAUGUUUAUUUGAAAACAAACUACUCUUAUUUAUUGUUCAGUUGAGGUGUAUAGUCAUAAGUGAAGCUCUACUAGAAAAAAUGUUGUUAUCUUAAAUAUCAAAGUACUGUUUCACAAAUCACAACAAAGCUGAAUACUAAGAGAUUGCUAUAAAUAUUAGGUUACAGUUGUGUAUAAUUGAAAAUUUGAAAGACUAGCUAUGGAUUUAACACAUGUGCCAUCUGCUCCCAAAGAGUAAUGUUUCCACAUCCUAGACAAAAGGCAAUUUUGAAGAUAAGUAUCAGAGUCUACUCCUGAAAAAUCAAGAUAGCAAGAAACUAUUUGAUCAUUCUUGAUGUACUGCUUAUUCAUAACUCUAAUAGAGUAAUAAUAUCUUUGUAACAUCAAUUUUAUUGGAUAUUGUAAAGAUACAUGUUUAUAAUUUUAUUAAAGACUUUUCAUCUCAUACCAAAUCCUUCCGUGCUUGACGUAAAUUCUUUCCAAGAAUAAGAUUCAUGCAAUGGCAAAGAUUUUAAGUAAAUAAAUAAAAAUAGAAGUUUCAACUCAGUUCUUUGAACUACUGAAACUUGUCAAACUAAAGUAUUAGAAAUUGAGCCAUGUCUGUCUUUGUCCUAAGCAACAACUUGUCAUAUUGCUAGCUUAUAGGCAAAUAUCUCACAUUACAAUUUUUAUUAAAAUUUCAACAUACUCAUCUUCCUUUCUUUUAUUUCCUUUUAGUUCACUUCAGUUUAUUUUUAAGGUAGGAUUUUACUUUUCUGGUGAAGGCUGUGGCCCCAAUUAUAAAUAACCCAGGCUGGCUUAUGACGCUCAGUGGUCCCAGUGUCUCAGCCUCUUCAGUGAUAGGAUUACACCUGUCUAGCAUCAUGCUCAGCACUCCAUCCGUUAUCAGACUUCUUGUUAGGUAACUAAGAAAUUCAGAUGAAAUGAAAAUAUGACAAUUUGAUAUAUUUAAAAUAUUUUACAGUAGAAAUGUUUGGAUAUCUAAUUUUGCAUCAUUUCUGCCAUUUCUAAGGACCUUUGUUCAUUCACUUGAGAGCAACUCCUGUUUUCCUGAGUAUAAAUGUUCUAUUUUCUCAAUACUUUUAUACUUUUAGCUAUACAGGUUUUCAUAGCUUUGGCUAAUUCACUCUUCCUUAACUUUCUCGUUACUAUUCCAAAAGAGUUUUUUUGAUUCCUUUGUUUGUUUCUAGGUUUUCAUGUUAGAUCUAUCAUUCUUGGCAAAGGGCAAAAUGGUGUUGUUGACGUUUGGGCUGGAGAUUACAGCCAUGCUCCUGGAGCUAGCUGACACUUCACUGUGGGUUUCACAUUUGAUUGCAUGAUGACCCAUGAUAUUGAGCACUUCUUUCAUACGCUUGUGGACCAUUUAUAUGUCUUCUAAGAUUUGAUACCAUGUUCUUUUGCAUAGUUUUGGUGUUUUCACUAUAGAAGUUGUUAGUGGAGUUCCUUCCAUGUUCUGCACAUUAGUCACUUGUCAAGCAGGUUUCAUGUCCUCUUCUGUCCCAUUGCUCACUUUGUCUAACAUGUGUGCUUCGUAUGAGCCUGUCUGCCUCAUCCUCUGUUGCUUCUCAGGAAACACCAGCUCCCUUGCCUCUGAUGACUAAUGCAUUUCCUCUGUUGUCUUCUGGGAGUUUCAUAGAUUCAGGUAUUAUGUUUAAAUAUUCUCCACAUUGAGUUCAUUUCUGAAACUUGUGGAAAGUAGUGACCUAAUGUCCAUCUUCUACGCACGGUGGUCCAGUUUCUCAGCAACAUUUAUUGAGAUGACUUUCCUUUCUCUGCAAUGCCUUUUUAACACCAUUGUUAAUGAGUUAGCUGUGGUUCUCUGCUCUGUUGGUGUCCAUGUUUAUUCCAGUGUCAUGGUCUUCUAAUCACUGCAGUCUACUGUACAUUUUGGUAACAGAUAUUAUAGUGUUUCUUGCUUCACUCUUUGCUCAAGAUGACAAGAUGACAUUCGCUGCUCAGCUUUUUGCACACAAAUUUUUGAGUUGUUUAUUUCUACUUCUUUAAAGAAAUUCCUUCAGUGUUUUGAUAGCAAUUACACUAAAUCAUAGAUUAAUUUGGAUAGAAAAAGUUACUUUCAACUUUCUGUUUUACUUACUGUUGAUAAAUACAAGUGCAGCCAGCUUCAUAGGUUCUUGAAAUUGGGCUGAUCGUCUUUAUUAUGUCUGGUACAUUUUUUAAUGAGGUAUUUAUGAUGACUCUUAAAAUUUACCUUUAAAAAGAUUUAUUUUAGUUUUAUUUACGUGUGUAUGUCUAUAUGUGUGUGUGUGUGUGUGUGUGUGUGUGUGUGUGUGUGUGUGUGUGUGUGUUGUAAGAAUACAAGUAUAUGCGAAUUGCCUUACAUGGGUGCUGGGAACUGAACUUUCAUCUUCUGCAAGAGUAUCAUAUGACUAUAUCCAGUAAGCCAUAUCUCUAACCCUGAUUUGAAUCAUAAAUUUUGAUAUAUAUAUAUCAUGACAUUUUUCAACAUUGGUGAUUAGACUUCCUUCAGUUUGGAUUGUAAUUAUUUCAUUGUCUUAUCUGACUGUAUUGUUUAUGAGUUUAAGAGAAUGCUUUCACUUCUUCCACGUUAAGUAUAACCCUUGCUGUAUUCUCAUUUCUUAUAUGCAAAUUAACUUUAUUAGGGCUGGGCAGAUGAUUUAGUGUAUAAUAGUGCUUGCUCUACACUCGUGAAGAUUCAGAUGUCCAGCAUUCAUGAAAAGACAGGCAUGGAUUCAUCUGCUUGUAGCCAUGACAAUGUGGAUGCACAGAACUUGCUAGCCAACUAGAAUAGUAAAAGAGGCAAGCUUCUGGUUCGGUGAGGAAGCCUAUGUCAAGUUGGGUGAGCCAUGGAAAGGAUAUCUGACCUUGUUGUGAGCCUCUACACACAAAAUUAUGACUUGGUUGUAUUACUUUAAAUCUAAUUUCUUCUGUAUAUUUACUAUGUUUGUUGAGUUUUACCAGAUACUUUUUCUAUGUAUAUUUUAAUCAUGUGAUAUUUGUCUUUGAUGUUUUUGCAUGAUAAAGGAUAUUAUCAAUUUGAAACCAUCAUGCUUACCACUUGGUUGUGGUGAAUGAUCUUUUUAUGGGUAUAAAGUUGGGUCAUUUACACUGUGUUGAGGACAUGGACAUUGAUAUUAAUCAUGGACAUUUUCAUCUUGUUAUUAUUAUCUGGAAUGCAUAUCAAAGUAAGGUCAGCUUUGUAUAAUGAGACCAACAUGCCCUUACUUUUCUGCUUUACAUUUAAGAAACAUUCGUUAUAGUUCUUUCAAUGUUUGGUGGAAGUCAACAAUGAAUCCUUCUAUUCCGAGCCUGGACAUCUAUCCAUCCAUCCAUUCAUCCAGCCAUCUAUCUAUCUAUCUAUCUAUCUAUCUAUCUAUCUAUCUAUCUAUCUAUCUAUCAUCUAUGUACCUAUGUAUCUAUCUAUGUAUCUAUCUAUGCAUCUAUCUAUCUAUCUAUCUAUCUAUCUAUCUAUCUAUCUAUCUAUCUAUCUAUCUGCUCAGAGACUAUUACUGAUUCAAUUUCAUUAUUUGUUAUUGGGAUGUUAAAAUUGUUUAUUUUUUCAUGAUUCAAUAUUAGUGAAGUAAAUGUUUCUGGGAAAUGAUCCAUGUUUUCUGGUUUAUUAAAUUUGUUUGUGUACCAAUGUGUUGAUUAAUCCCUGAUAACCUUUGUUUUUCUGGGAUAUCAGUUUAAUGUCUUCUUUGUUUUGGUCUCAGAUCUUACUUCAGUUUUAUUUAAAUUCCUUUUCUUAGUCAACUUAAGGAUUUUUUUUUUAUUUUAACCUCGAGAAGAAUCAAUUUUCCAAAUUAUUAAUAAUUUAAAUGGCUUUCUUCAUGUAUCUUCCAUUAAUAUCCAUGAUAUUUUCCUUCUAGUGAUUUGUUUCUUCUUUUUUCCCUUCGUCCUCUGAGAUGUGAUAUAAAUUGGUUAUCUGAGAUCUUUUGACUUUUUUGAUAUAUACAUUAAUUACUGAAAGGUGAUAUUUAUUUUAAUAUAAUUAAAUAGAACCUAAACAUUACUUGCUUGUGAUUCUUAAUCUUACUGUAGGAUCUUAGAAAAUAUAAUUAUCAUAAAUUCAGUUUUAUAAGUAUCUAUUGAGUCUUACUUUGUAGUUUAUUGCAUCGUCACAAAAAGAUUCCAUAGAUGGUCUUUGUGUAGAGUAUUAUGAUGAUAAUUUCACAGGUUCGGGGUGCAAUUUAAUUUUGUAUCUUUUGAAAGUCUGAUUGAACGAUCCAUCCACUGAUAAAAGGAAGACGUGAGACUGGCACUAUUUGUAUUAAUUCUGUCCUGGCUCUCACUGUAGGUUUUGUAAAUAUGUGUUGUAUGUUUUGAUGCGUCAUACACAGUUGUUGCUGCUUUGUUUUGGAUUGUCAUAAAACAUCUUAUCCAAUCUUUGAGUCUUCUUCUGUGUGAAUACUCAGAGAAUUGAGCUUCUUACAAGGCACAUAAAAUUAGAUCUGUUGGAGUUGGCAUCCAUUCAGGCAUUAGGACCGAACUUGAGAAUUUAACUUAUUAGUAUUCAAGCUAAUUAUCUAGAAUGACUGAACUACAGACUACUAAAAGAAUUAUACGUGCAGUGUAUCUGCUUGUGUGUAUGUGCAGGUAUGCACAGGUACCUAUGAGAGCCAGAAGGGGACAUCAGAUCCCUGGAACUGGAAUUACAGAUGGUUAUCAGCUGCAAGAAGAAGGUCCUCAUAAUUUAGUUCAUGUCCUGUGGAAAAACAAUAAACACACUUAACCACUGAACCGUCUCACCAGCCUCUAACUACAGACAUUUCUGACUUGGCAUCUAGUGCUGUUCUAAUUGCUAAUGCUUUUACUCGUCCACUCUUAUUUUGUGAUUAAGGCAUUUUAGUCCAGUAAUGAGAACACUUGAUCUAUUUGUUUGUGUCUGUGUUUGUGUGCUUGUGCAUGUGCAUGUGCCUGUGCCUGUGUGUGCCUGUGUGUACAUGGUUGAUUUGUGAUCAGCAUGAGGUUUAAAGUAUAUGUGAAUUACAAAAGGCUACCUUGAAGGAACAGUAGUUGUAUGCCAUGAGACAAUCACACUUGAGCCCCAGUAAGCAGGAUACUUGCUUUGUUGACAAUGGGAGGGUGUUCUCCUCCAAAGCUUUGCUCCACUCCUGUUAAAUCCUCCUUUUGUUCUCUAAUUAUGCAUUCUCCACCUGUCUUAAGCUGCAGAUUCCCUUCUCUGUUGGGCUGAUGCAGCUAUCAAUAUCCACUGUUACACUAUUGAUAUCAGAGUUUUUCUCACCUCAAGGACUUGGAGGCCUUUUGAAUUCAUUAAAUUCUCUUUCAAAUGAUUGAAUUCAUUCUGUUUUUCAUCAAUUCUUUUUCCUUAUCAAGUUUCUUUGAAAGUACUGUUUCAAAUGUAAUACUUGAGUACUCUCUUGUAUUGAUGACCACCUGGCUAGUUUCUGGCACCUUAUUUUGUAAAUUAGGUGAAUAUACCAUGGAAGCUUUUGAUAUUUGUGAGCUUGGAUUGUGUGUCUGGGUUUAAGUAUUUGGUAUCUAUCUUACUCUUUAUAAUAUGAAUGUGCAUAGACCUGUUUGAUUUAAAACCAUCUUCUCCAUGACCUCUUCUUCCGUAACUACCUCUUCUAUCGUCACCCCUAGUCUCUCUCUCUGUCACACACACACACACACACACACACACACACCCCAAACAGGGGAGAGAGAGACAAAUUUGUAAAAAUAACUAAUAGCUUCCUGACUCCAUUUAGUUUUGCUAACAUAUAGAUGGGUUUAGGGCUAAUCACUUGCAAUCAGAGGCUUGUCCCAGAAGAGAACUGAUUGUCUUUUUCUUAUAAGUCAUUAAAUGCAUGUAGCUCUUCAUUUAGGGGUGUUGCCAUGUGAGAUUUCUUCCCAUGAGAUGUCACCUGAUUACCAUUGUACAGGUCUUUGCGUUGAUAUUGUUAGUAUGUUUUUCACCUCUCAUCAAAGAAAUUUCAUUCUGCAGGAGACACAAACCAUGCCAGACAGUCACUGCUGGUCCAAUUUGGAGAACAAGUGACUGGGGGCAGUGCCUAGUCCCAACUGAUACAUCUACAAAGCAACUGUAUGCAAGGCUCAGGGAAAUCUCAGGAGAGGGAUGGAAAGAUUGUGAAAACCAAAUGAACAGAAGCCUACUGUAGGACAGUAUGUAGAUAAAACAGGAAAGCUGCAUCCAUGAAAUAAAUCUUUUAGGAGUUUUAAACAAACCUUUUGUUGUCUGUGCAUUUAGAAACACUUGCAUUAUUUCAGCACCACAGGAUGCUCAAAUCCAUGUUUGACAGAUGUCACUAUUGAUAUAUUAUAAAUUUAUUAGUUCUAGAGGAUUACCUCCAGAUAAUCCUGCCAAAUGUAGAUUUUGGUGCUUUUAGUAGAGGUGAACAAGGAGAAUGUCUAUACAGGGUUGUCCAUUUCAACAGGCCUCUUAUGUGGGAUGCUAUAACUACACGGCCAUAUCUGUCCCAGACUUUUAUGCCAAAAUGCCAUCAAAUCUUUUCAGACUCUGAACCUACAGCCUACUGACCAGACUAGCAAUAGGAUAGAUCCAAGAAGUACAUUUCUAUAAGCUGUCUACCACUAAGUGGAUACAUGACCAUGGCGACUGUAGUUGUCCACAGAUGUUAUAUUCUUGUGACAUAUUUAUAUCACACAGGUGAUAGAUUGGUUCUACAUAAUUCUUCUCCAUACCUGAAAUGUUCUGGAAGCUCCAUGGAUGAGCAUGCUUAUAAACUGGCUCUGUUGGGAUUUGCACAGUAUUGGCUGUCUCAGACUGGGUGUUUAAUUUUGCCAUGUCUAACUCUUAUCAAAUUGAGGCUUUUUCUUUGCUGUGCUUCCUUAAGUAGUUGGGCAGCAUUGGUGAAAGCCAUCCCCUGCCUACCCAGACUUAUGCAACCCUCUCACCAGACCUGUAGCUCGCUUGAAUACUCUGUGUGGAAAGCCUCUGAAAUUGGUAUAUCUGUGGGUAGACUAUCUCUAGAGGCUUCUGUCUUUUUGUUCCAUUUCCUAAAAUUUAAAUUUGGUUAAUAAUACAGUCUCUCUUCAUAAGAAAUAUGUGAUUAUCCUGAAUCCAUCUUUACAAUCCAUGAUCAUAAUUAUACCAUCUCUUUCUUUAAUAUCAUCAUACCAUGAGUACAUUGUACUUUCUUACUUAAAAUUCUGCUUUAAUGAAUGCCAGAAAGUAUUGUUUUCUUUUCCUAAAUGGGAGAUAUAUCAGACUGGAAUGUAAUAUUCCCUCAUCCUCUCUGUGAUUAGAGAGGAGAUAGUAUGCAUGAAUUUUUAAUUUAUUCUUAAAAUCCAUUCACAACAUGCUUUUAAAUUUUCAUGAAACCCAUAGUCACCCAUCUUUGCUUUUGACAAAGUUACUUUCUUAUACAGAAGUCAGUGGGUAUUCCAAUCAAUGUGAGGCAACAGAUAAUUCAAACAUCCUUUAGGACAUAACCAUGGAAAACAUGUAGUGUAGGGUAGUCAUUCUUCAUUAAUUAUACCCAUAUAAAGUAUUAUAUAUAUAUAUAUAUAUAUAUAUAUAUAUAUAUAUAUAUGUGUGUGUGUGUGUGUGUGUGUGUGUGUGUAUAUAUAUAUAAUACACACACACACACACACACACAAUCUCAGCUGUGUAGAGGGCGAUGCAGAAUUGUAACCUUAGAAUUGCAGAGGGAAUGAUGGGGGGGACCAGGAAUUCAAGAUAAUCCUCAGUCAUAGAAAAGUUCAAGACCAACCAGGGCUACGUAAGGUAAUGUUUGAAGAAAACAAGAUACAAAUAAAUGAAUAAGUAACAUAUAAUGAAUUUAUUUCGGCCCUGUUUUAAAGGAGUAUAAGAGUUGAAAUUUUUAGCAUUGUUUAGUACAUUCAGGUUGACUUCUUUAAGAACAAAUCAAAGUCAGUAAAAUACUUGCCAUGCAAGCAUGAGAAUUCAAGUUCUAGAACUGACCAUAACAGUGGUGGUUCAUGCUUCUAACACGUGUGCUGAGGAAGCAGUAGCAGCUGAAUUCCUGGAGCUCAUAGACUAGCCAUCUGGCUAAACUGAUGAGUGUUUAGUCCUGUAGAAGCUUUGUCUCAAAACAAAACAAACAAACAAAGAAACAAACAGGUAGAAAGCUGUUAAGGACAGAUACCUGGAAUCCACUCUGGUUUCCAAAGGCACAUAGAUCCUUUGUACUCGUAUGCAGAUGUGCACAUCCAUACUAAUACUCAUACCACACACUACAAUAACAAUGACCAUAACAACUACAAUAAUACACUCUCAACUGCACACACACACGCACACACACACACACACACAGAGAGAGAGAGAGAGAGAGAGAGAG